GGUGGGAAAUGGUAGAGCCGAAGGAUUGUUAGCAAUAGGUGAUGGAGGGCAAGGUGCAAUUUCACUCAUGCCUGACGUUGAAGGCACAGGUUCUAGUUCCUUGCUGGAUUCGAUUAUAUCUACCCUCUUGAAAAAAUGAUCCAGUGAUAUCUGGGUAGUAGCUCUUUUAUUUUUGUAGUCACAGAUG